rnacentral:rRNA from 1 species
GACGGGUAUCCGGCCUGAGAGGGUGAACGGACACACUGGAACUGAGACACGGUCCAGACUCCUACGGGAGGCAGCAGUAGGGAAUAUUGCUCAAUGAGGGAAACCCUGAAGCAGCAACGCCGCGUGGAGGAUGAAGGU